GGGAAGACGGAUUCUCAGACAAGGCUUGCGAAUGCCCCGCAGCCAUCAUUUAACUGCGCCUGCAGAGCAGUUAAGAGCUGAACCGAGCCGGGUUUCCAUUUCAAAAAAGGAGACAGCCUCUACUGCGAAUGUAGAAGAGACCGAGGUGUGAAUUAGGGACCAGGAGGCGUCGAGCGGCGGAACGGUCCAUCUCAGAGACUAAUUUUCUGGAGUUUCUGCCCCUGCUCUGCGUCAGCCCUCACGUCACUUCGCCAGCAGUAGCAGAGGCGGCGGCGGCGGCGGCGGCUGCUCCCGGAAUUGGGUUGGAGCAGGAGCCUCGCUCGCUCCUUCGCUCGCGCUCUCCGCGCUCAGUCCCCGGCGGCAGGAGGAGCCUGGACCCAGGCGCCUCCGGCGGGCAAUAGGCGCCGGAGCCCGGCCUGGAGGUGCGUCCCGGAUCCCAGUGUACGUCUAGCAAGGAGGCUGCGCCCCAGAGAGUCCGGGGAGCGCCGCCGGCUGGUGCCCGGCGCGCCAGGCCAUGCAACGGCGGCAGCGGCGGAGCUCAGAAC
rnacentral:lncRNA from 1 species